CACAUAGUCUUUCCGACCUUAUGCGACCCUUCCACAUCAAGAUUUCACACCCAAGACCUCGUAUACCCCGAGUCGCUGGGUUGUCGUGGCCAGGAGUCGGCACAGUGUGAACGGGGCUUUAGCCAGUGGUGGGUAAAGACAGAGGGGAGGCGUGACAUCCGGGUUACCACAGCUUACCUUCCCCAGGUUUCCCCAGGUACCCAUCUAUCGACCAGUCUAAAAGAGAGGGUGAACAGCUCUAUCACCAUCCCCUCCGCUUUCCCCUCCUCUCCUCGCCUUAUCUUGCAACUGCUCCUGCCCCCUCCCCAACCCUAAGACCUCUCCCCGUCACGCCCGCCAGCUCUCCCACCCCUCUAACACUCACACUCGGCUCGCGCUCGUUUUCUUCAUUAGUGUGAGUUCAGGCAGACCCAGACACACAGGGAGUCAGAGCACCAAGAACAACAAAUAGCUAAGUUUGCCGUUGAGUGUGCCUUUAUCACAUUACCCUACAGUCACCAUGCUCACCCGUCAGACAGCGAUUAUUUUCCUCAUCCUCGUGGCCGUCAUCGCCAUCUACAGUGUCUCCAGGUAUUCACUUGAUGAGAAGUUUGCUUCCGUGCUCGUGGCGAGAUGCAUCGACACCAGCAGCAGCAGGAGCGCCUCGCCCCCGGCCCCAGGAGCAUCAAGGGACGGGGCCUUCUACCGGGAGGCAGACAUCGCCACGUGGGACGAGGACUGGGGUAAGGCCGCCCCUAGUUUUCUCCGUCCCUCCCUUCCUCCCUCUUUCCUCCUCUUCAUUAGUUGCCAUUAUAAGUUACGGGACUUACGGCAAAUACGAUCACGGUAUGGAGAAUGUGUGAGGACCCGUAUCUACCUCGUGAACGCCGGAUGUCCAGUCCCGAAGGCAAUGAGAGGUUUCGUCUCCUGAAUAUUUCGCUCAAGGCUGUUUUGCUUUCUAGCAUCUACAGCCUAAUUUGAUGUUAGGUGGGUAUUGUUUUUGAAGGUGUGGUUAGUUCGACUUCUAGUCUUAAAAUAUAAGUGCUUUACACAAGCGGUAGACACACCGAAACUGUUAUUAAUAUUAUUAAACAAAGGGUAAACCGUCAUCGUUGCCACGGAGACAAAUGCGAGGGGCCUCAAGCAGCGAAGAGACGAACUGAGAGCAAAGCCAGUCUGCGGGUCAUGUGACGUCUUACGAUAAGCACACUGAUGAGAGGUGUUGAGGCUU